rnacentral:rRNA from 1 species
GACAGAGGCCCCAAGCGUUAGGCGGAAUCACUGGGCGUAAAGGGCGUGUAGGCGGUCAGGUAAGUGGGAUGUGAAAUGCCUCGGCUCACCCGAGGCACUGCAUUCCAAACUGCUUGGCUUGAGUAUGGGAGAGGAUGAGGGAAUUCCUGGUGUAGCGGUGAAAUGCGUAGAUAUCAGGAGGAACACCGGUGGCGAAGGCGCUCAUCUGGCCCAAUACUGACGCUGAGGCGCGAAAGCUAGGGGAGCAAACGGG